rnacentral:tRNA from 1 species
AGGAGUGUAGCUCAGCUGGUAGAGCGUCGGUCUCCAAAACCGAAAGUCGGGGGUUCGAGUCCCUCCACUCCUGCCA